GGUGGUCUAGUGGUUAGAGCAUCCGCUUCGGAUGCAGGAGGUCGUGGGUUCGAUCUCCGGUACUUAUACCA